GGCAGUCAGAGGAACGAGCCCGCGCCUUCUCUCUCUGUCCCUCUGCAGACUGGCUCUGGUUGGCACCUGGUACCACUGGAACCCUGCAAACCAGUUGAAGGUGGCUUCUCAUGGACCUGCUUCCCUGACUCUGAGGGACCCUGGGGACAGUCCUGGGCCUCUGCCCCAGGUGAAGCCAGAAUAAACAGAAUUCAGUCUGGCCACAGUCCCCCCUGCAUUACUGCCCACCAGAAACCUGCAAUUUCACCUCAUUUCGAGGGCUUGAAUUACCUUCGGGAGUUUCUGAAAUAGCUCCCUUGGUAUAGCCAGAGAGGAACUGAUAGAUCAAACCCGGAUGGGAAUGAGCCUAAACAGGGGAGGCGGACGGCCCAGCAGAACGCCCUGGAACCAGACUCUGACCCAGAGGGGCCUGAGGGAGCCAACCUCUCAUUUUACCGCAUGCUCACAUGACUUGCCCGGAAGAGCAAAAGGAACUGAACUCCCUCCAAUCUGAGUGCAGCCAGCCACUGCUCCAUCAGAAACCUUCACGGGGGAUGGAGGGAGGGGAAGGGGGCUGCCCCAGGGCUUUUGCACUGGCCACCCUUCCGAUAGCUCCCUCCCGUGCCCAGGCUUUUUUGCUUCCUCUAAGCUUUCAUGUCUCAUGGCCGAGGUCACUUCUCUGCAGAGAUCAUCCUUGAUCAAGCCCAGGCUGGAGAAGCCUCACCCCUCGUUUUCCUAACCCCCUUCUUAGGAGUUGGUAUCCUGCAUAUCUGCAGGUCGGGGCUCAUUACUUCCUUCAUGAGAAUUUCCGUUCCCAAGCUGGGCCGUUUCUGUUCCGUGCACACCUCCGGGAGUGGCCUACUCGUGAUUGAAUGAAUGACAGACAGAUAUGCCUG
rnacentral:lncRNA from 1 species